AGCCUUUCAGGAUCACACCUGGAGAUUUUCCAGUCCUCUACCAGUCUCAGCUACGGGAGGGAGAGUCAAGCAGAGGCCUACCCAUUUCAUUCCUAGCUUGGCCAGUGGCUAGCGAGUGGAAGACAAACUGCUACAAGU